CAAUAGCGUAUAUUAAAGUUGUUGCAGUUAAAAAGCUCGUAGUUGGAUUUGUGGCGUACGGUGUGUUCCGGGCACUUGUUGUCUGAGUAACCUGCUGUUGCCAUCCUUGGGUGGAACCUGUGUGGCAUUAGGUUGUCGUGCAGGGGAUGCCCAUCAUUUACUGUGAAAAAAUUAGAGUGUUCAAAGCAGGCUUAUGCCGUUGAAUAUAUUAGCAUGGAAUAAUGAGAUAGGACUUUUUUGCUAUUUUGUUGGUUUGCGCAAAGAGGUAAUGAUUAAUAGGGACAGUUGGGGGUAUUCGUAUUCCAUUGUCAGAGGUGAAAUUCUUGGAUUUUUGGAAGACGAACUACUGCGAAAGCAUUGACCAAGGAUGUUUUCAUUAA
rnacentral:rRNA from 1 species